rnacentral:rRNA from 1 species
GACGAGGGGGCAAGCGUUGUUCGGAAGUUAUUGGGACGUAAAGCGCUCGUAGGCGGGACAGGAAGUUCGUGUUGAAAGACCUCGGCUCAACUGAGGGACCGGCUCGAAUACUCUUGUUCUUGAGGCAAUCAGAGGGUGAUGGAAUUCCCGGUGUAGGCGGAUGAAAUGCGUAGAUAUCGGGAGGAACACCAGUGGCGAAGGCGAUCACCUGGGGUUGUUCUGACGCUGAGGAGCGAAAGCUAGGGGAGCAAAGCGGGG